rnacentral:rRNA from 1 species
GGCUGAAAUUCGCCUUCAUGAAGCUGGAAUUGCUAGUAAUGGCAGGUCAGCAUACUGCCGUGAAUACGUUCCCGGGCCUUGUACACACCGCCCGUCACACCAUGAGAGUUGGAAAUACCCGAAGCCUGUGAGCUAACUUUUAGAGGCAGCAGUCGAAGGUAGAAUCAAUGAUUGGGGUGAAGUCGUAACAAGGUAAC